rnacentral:lncRNA from 1 species
AUAAACUGUUGUGCCCAAGAUCGCGAAUCUGAGAAACCACCAAGGAGCCGACACCGAUGCAAGCACACGAGGGUUUCUUUACAAGCUCGAGCCUGGGUCCAAGUAUACCCCACGCAGUAGAGCAGGGACUUGGACCCCGAUACUAAGAGGCUUAGCAACUUUAUAGGGGCCAGUGGUCAAUGGGAUGCGCAGAAAGUUGCACAGUCAGGCUGGUCCACUGAGCUGGAUUUACGAUUAGGGUGUGUCCUGGCCUUUGACUAGGGCCGGGCAGUGCCCUAAGCACAAGGCGGGUGCAGCCCAAAAUAGUCAGUCCUGCUCUGCUUGUCCAGGGGUAGGGGAUUUUGUUAAGUUUCCUGGGUCCCACAGCAACCAUCUUUGAUGAGACAUUUCCAGGAUUUCAUUCGUGAUUAUAAAUAUUGAUCUUUUCUCUUACAAUUGAAAUCAACUGGCUCAAGUCCAGUAAAAAUAUGAAUGAGGCUAAAGAUUCAUGGUUUUCAGCCUCCUGGCGGUUUCAUAUUUUGACUGAUCAAACUUCAUUUCAUGAGGCCUUUCUUAUAACUAGGAUAAGUCUUAGCAUUUCUAUGAUUUAAUUGCAAUUAACGAUGACAAAAUGCAUUAAAAUGCUCAAAUGGUUGUAUAAAUUCUGCUGCAUAAAAGGGGCAACAAGUCAUUUGAUAAGAAAUGAUAUGAGAAGUGAGAAUCUACUGCUUGCAAUUGUGCUCACUAUAAGGAAUCUUGAGUCCACUAAGGAUACAUGGCAAUUAUAACAGUAUACUAAGAAGUCAAGAAAGAUGCUCUCAGUAGCCAUACAAUGCCAGAAAUUCUUCUAGGCAAAGGAAAAAGUCAAACACAGCUACUUUGCAAAAUGGCUUCUGAGUCUAUGUUCCAGUAUUUCAAAGAAAUCACAGCCCAAAACUGAAAGUCAGGAGAGUAAGAAAAAGUGACUUAACAUUUGAUAAUGUAUAUAGUUUCUUAGCCAGAUCUUAAUUUUACGGAAGACCUGAAAGGAAAAGAAAUAGCUGAAAGAUUAGGAAAACCGUGAUAAUUCCAGAAAUAUAUUCACAUUUGUUCAUUCUUUCAUUAAAAAAAUUUUU